CCUACGGGAGGCUGCAGUGAGGAAUAUUGGUCAAUGGACGAGAGUCUGAACCAGCCAAGUAGCGUGAAGGAUGACUGCCCUAUGGGUUGUAAACUUCUUUUAUAAAGGAAUAAAACGAGGCACGUGUGCCUUUUUGCAUGUACUUUAUGAAUAAGGAUCGGCUAACUCCGUGCCAGCAGCCGCGGUAAUACGGAGGAUCCGAGCGUUAUCCGGAUUUAUUGGGUUUAAAGGGAGCGUAGAUGGGUUGUUAAGUCAGUUGUGAAAGUUUGCGGCUCAACCCUAAAAUUGCAAUUGAUACUGGCAGUCUUGAGUACAGGUGAGGUAAGCGGAAUUCGUGGUGUAGCGGUGAAAUGCUUAGAUAUCACGAAGAACCCCGAUUGCGAAGGCAGCAUACUAAACUGUGACUGACAUUGAUGCUCGAAAGUGUGGGUAUCAAACAGGAUUAGAUACCCUUGUAGUC
rnacentral:rRNA from 1 species